UACAAUGGGCUUCCCCUGUGGUGGGAGUACAGGGCCACCAGCACAGAUCAGCUUUCAAGUUAAGGCACAUGUGCUGUAUAUUUGGGAGGCAUAAAUCAAGUUUUACAUAUCAUGAAUAUUUGCUUAUAACUCUAAAAAUCCUCCAUCAGGUACCCAUCCAUUUUCAUAUGAAUUCUUUUGUUUUGUUUGGAGUCAGUUCCAAUUUAGAUCAAUGACAUAUUCUGAUUCAGUAAAGCAUGUGCCUAACUUUUAGGAUGUGCCUAAGUACUUCCCUAUUAAUCAAAGCAUUUAACCAUUUGCUUAAUUUUAAACGUGUCAAUAGAACUUAAGCAGAUGCUUACAGGCCUUUCUGAAAAUAUGACAUUAUUAAAGGUUCUAGGUCACACCUAGAAUACUGGGCAAGGUUCUAGAGCUGAACAUUCGAGAGUACAAGGUCUCCCAUUGCUAAGUUCCCUGGUGAUAGAAUGUGCGAAUAAACACCUCAGACACAGCAAAGUCCCCUGAGAGAGCCUGGAUAUGCACAGUGAAUGAAUGUUUGCAGCAGUGAUGUUUUGGCCCAGUUCAUGAGUUUAAAAUCAACUGCAGAUUGAAGAACAAAAGCAAAAGACAGGAAAUAUACUAGUCAAUCCACAGUUGAUGCUGUUCUUCUGUAAAUACCCCACUUACUCUUUCCCUUUCCCUCUCCACUACUCCUGGAAUCUUGAACUUGUUGGAUAACAAAGAAGAAAGAAACGAAAGGAGAGACGAGGGUGUCCAAUGACUCAAAUGCAUGAAAAGAAAUUAUCCAGAUGAAUCAUGGGACACAGUACCUUUGUCCAACAGAGCUACUGAAACCUAAAGUGACUUGUAAUUAUUAUACUGCAAGUCCCAAGACCAUUGAGAGCUAUUGGCUGUAACACACAUUAAAGUAGUUUAUUAA